AUUCAUAUAUUCCUCUGUAACAUUUUGUGAUGAUCUUCCAAACAUACUGCUCCAUCUUUUAGAACUUUUUUUUUCUGUACUUACCUUAUUAAGACUAUUUCCCAAUAUUUCUACUUAUUCUUCCAAAGGAUUUUUAAUGGGUAUAUAGUAUCUAAAUUUAUCUAACCAUUAUCCUGUAAAUCAACAUUUUUGUUUGAGGUUGUGCUAUUAUGAAGACCCCAUAAUGACCACCACCAUACCUAUCACUGCAUAUUAAUGCCUUAGGAAAUGCUUAUAAGUGGAUCUCCUCAGUAAUAUGUAAUAAAAAAUUUAAAGAUAUGUUUUAAGAUAUUUUAAAAGAAUACAACUCUUUGCUAAUUAGAACAUCUUAGUGGAAGAGAAUAAGAAACAAGUGCCCAUAUCCUGAACAUGAGUACACAGAUCGUUGGCAGAAUAGAAAGCUGCGAAUACUGGUUUUAUUCAAGAUAGGAAUAGGGACGCUUCACACUGAGAUUGAAUGCUUUAUACAGUGAUUCCAGGCCCCUGGGGAUUUGCUCUUCUAUACACUUUGUGGAAAAGUUUGAGAAGCAAAGCUAUAAAUGAACAUAAAGCAUACAAGACUAAGGUAACUAAUGAUCCUAAUAGCUUAGUUUUAAGGUGGCAAAAUAAUGACUACACAUUGAGUCAAAAAAAAUUGUUUGUGGAGUUUAUUAUAAAAGGCUUUAGUUGCUUAAGAUGUUGAUUUCAACUACCAACUAUUUUUUUCUUAAAUUUUAUUUAUUUGAAAGAGAGACUGAGCCAGAGAGAGAGCGCACAAGCUGGGGGAGAGGCAGAGGGAGAGGGAGAAGCAGACUCCCCAUUGAGCAGGGAGCCCUAUGCGGGGUCCAAUCCACAGGACCUGGGAUCAUGACCUAAGCAGAAGGCAGUCUGGUUUAGUCAGUUAACUGACUGAGCCACCCAAGCACCCCCAAUUAACCAACUACUGAAAAACAAUGUUAUUAUCAAAGAGAAUUAGUUGGCAGUAUGGUUCAUUUCAAGGUGCAGCAUUUCAUACCUGGUUUGACAAUAAAACCGUAUUGCUGAUUAAAAAGAAAGACUAUUUUUCACCCAGUGCAUGAUUUAAGAACUUAUAAUGUAUAUUUGACUACAUUUAAAAAUUUCAUCCAUUCAAAAUUGAGCACUUUAUGCAAGGCACCAUUAGAAGCUCUUUAAAUGGAAAUAUAUCAAAUUAUCACCAUAGUCCUCCGAUGUACACUGAAGUUUAUUUUUAAAGCACACUUUCUUGACAGAUACAAACAUACACAUAGUCAGUAAAUAAACAUAAUAAGCAUUUCUUCUGCUACACAGUAUGUGAUGGUAAAUAAAGAUUACUGUUGACAACCCAGUGCUUGGAAGAAUGGCCUGACAACAGUGUCAGCUUAAAAACAAACAAACAAAAAAAACUGUUCAUAAAGGGAUCUCUGGUGUGCUUUUUCCUGACAACUUCUUUCGGGAAUUCUGUCCUGGAAUGGGGUAUCUUUCCACAAACUUGAAGCAGCAGACGUGAUAAACAGGUUCCUUCUUUUAUUUAUCUUUAUGGAAUCAAACCAAAACCAAAACCUGUUUGUGAUUUCUAUUACAAGAAUUCUCUUCACAAAAGGGAAAAAAAGGUGGGGGGAGGGAAUGAUAUGAAAGCAAACAAAUGCCAUGUUUAAUAAAUCUAUCAUUUAACAAAGCAACAGGUUCGUAACUUCCUCAGGUCAUUUCCCAUCCUUUGAGAAUAAAAAAAGCUUUGGAACUGAAAUUGCAAAGCACUUAGAGGUACACCAAUCCCUAAGCAAACCUUUUAUAUGGAAAAAAAGUGUUAAAGAUUAGGGCAGUAAGAGAAGAUUGACUAUUUAAAAAUAAAACUCCAAAAUAAAAUAAAAUAAAAUAAAAAUAAAACUCCAUUUUGAGAAGAUAAACAUCCCAUCUUAAAUAAGUAGCCUCUAAGACCAAAAAAAAGAACUUUUCAACUUCAUUGUUGUUCUAAAGUUUUGCUGUCCCUGGAACGGUUAUAAAUGUGUGUUCAAUGUGAUCUAGGAGCUCAAUACUUUAAAAAACACUUCCCAACCCUCCUAAAUUUUUAACAUCUAUGUGCCAGGUUGUAAAUCCCUAGGGAUGCUAGUGUUUCACAUUAGUGUAUUCAUCCUCACAGGUGUUAACUUUAAGCCAAUGUACUUAAUGGAGCAUGAUAAAAGCAACUGUUUAUAAUACAAUGAGGUUAUUGUCAGAACACACAAUUUUAUUACAACAUUAAUAAAAACUAGGGUCUGUAGAUGUUGGAGAGAUAAAUGAAUAAAAGGAAAAGCUUUUGUUGUUUGUAUUUCAAUACUAACUAGCAAUAUCUAGCCUUACAAAUAAGGCUUCUCUCUCCCAUUGCCUUGGGGUGAAAUCAGAUAAACUUGCUCCAUCAUAAAACAAAUAAACCAACCCUUAAAAAAAAAAAGGGGGGGAACUUAAAAAAGAUUCAAGGGGAUAUCUGCCUUCUUUUGAUAUAAUUCUCUAUUAGUAACCAUUUCCCAGCCAUACUCUGCUUUCAAAGAUCAAAUCCUAACUCCAAAACGUUCUUGUGAUUGCUUCCCCUCAAAAUAUUUCUAAAACCUGAACGUUCUGUGGGAAAUAUUUAUACAGUAUAUAUUUAUUCAUAUCACUGCUUAAGGUAUGAACUUGAAGUUCUAAGCAAGUAUGCAAUGCCCAGUACUUACUGAUUAAAGAUGAAAAAAGGGCAAUAGCAUUUUGGCUCCACGAUCUAGCUCAACUGCAAUCAAAUAAAGAGAUUCACGCAGCAAAUGCAGAUUCUAGAUCAGUCCCAAAAAGCCUAUUUUGGGGUGAGCCUAUAAACUAAAAUAGUAAAACAAAACAAAACAAAAAAUUAGCUUCUUGGUGGCACAUAAGUUUAUGGAAGCAAUAAUGAUGAGAUAAAUAAACAUGAAAUGUCUUUUUCAUAACUGUAAUUUUUUUCCAGACAAAUUCAAGCUAUUUAUCGUCCCUGGUGAAUGAAAAAACAACUAUUCUCACACCAAAUUUUCCUCAAACAGCGUGACAAUUUUUUUGUAAGGUUAAGGAAUUGCAUUUUAAUUUUUUCCUAAAUCUUAACUAAAUUUCUCAAUCUUAACCUAAUUAAUGCGCUCUUAUCACUACGCCACCAUAGUAAAACGCUAAGUUUUUGGUAUUUACCGCCACAUAACCUUCAAAUGUUAAAGUGGUGGUAAUUACUCAAAUUACUAAAAAACAAAACAGUAAUACUAAAAAGAUUAUUAGAAACAACUUUAAAGCCGGCUCAAAGAAAGAAGCUUAACGGACAAAUAUGAAAACGUUUAACUGAAAAAGAAAAAAAGAUUUCCCGUUUGUAAAACUUUCAACACAAUGGAAGAGUAUUUUCUUACUUGGACUGGAGCUUAAAAGCUAUAAAUGGUUAAUCGCCUUGCACUAAUUAAAAAUAAAGAUAUAAUUAGUAAAAGAUAAAAAAAAUUCGAAAUGGUAUUAUUCUAUGCUUAAAACGUUGCAUACUCGAAAGUCACCCUACAGACUGAAUUUUGUCGGAUGUCCCAACAAGCAGCCUCGCCUACUGUCAGGAGGUACACGACGAUGAAUCAAGUUACAAGAAAAGCAACCACACACCGAAUUUGAAUUUCCAGAUUCAAACAUGGAAAGGGAGAGGGAGUCCUGACUUACGUUCCACAUAAUUAUCACCCUCUCCUUAUCUUCACCGAGUAUUUUUAUUAUAAAAACAGAUGCUGUAUCAUUCAACUGCACAGAACGGCACUUGGCCACCCCACUCUCAAACCUACGCCAGAGACUGGGUCAAAACAAAGUCCAUUUUAAAGGACAAGAUUAAAAAAUUUAAAAACUUCCUCAGAACUCAGCAAAAUAUGACAAUUACUACUUUGCAGACGCCUUUUACGGUUCUCUGCUCGACCAGGACACUCUCCCCGCAGUCAGUGCUGGUCCUUUUUGAGAGGCUGACAGAGAUAACUACGGCCAGCAACCCCGAUUGCCUCUGCAGGGGCCUUGAAGAGCAGAGCUAGAACGAAUCCCGAAAGAUGGAAGAGUCUAAGACGCAAACAAGGAAAUCUCGGUACCGACGAUUCUGCUGCUGAUGCUGUAAAGGAGGCCCAUCUUUCUUUGGCGUAACUGGUGUUGCUGGCUCGGGGGGCAGUUGGGCCCAGCUGGCCGAGUUUCAGAAAUUCGCCAGGCUCCGGAGCAGAUGCAGCCGGGCAUGGAACGGAAUGAGAGCCUUGUCUGGAUGCAAAAGCAAGCCGGGAAUUCUGUCUGGCCCCUCACAGUUAGUUUGCAUUGCCGUAGGCGCUUUGGGCGUGUGACGCAGUUCUGGUCAAAAGUGGCCUCUGUGAGCGUAGCAAGAUGCUACUCUAGUGCACAGUCCGUCGUAAAGCACUGUCUUUUCUAAGCCAGCUGCUCUUCAGUUACGUGGGAAACUUUCAGAAAGGACCAAUAGUCGGGCCUAUCCCCUAGACCAGUCUUUCAGAAGCUCCGUGAGACCCUGGCAGAGACUGUGAUUUUAGAGUUUCGAGUUUGAAAAUCUUAAUGGUGGAGUGGUCCGAACCUGUUACAACUAUAUGAUUCCGAUCUCGUUUUACUUGUUUCUAAAACUAGGUUUAUUGUAGUCUUUCUGUACUGAGAUGACAGAAGUUAUAAAAGUUAGACUUGACUAAUGUUCUCGCUUCCAACAACUAUGUGUAGACUCCCACUACGUUGUCGCAAGGGGAAUGUAGUCCGCCUCAGUCGUAAAGGUCAAAAAAAGGCUAUGGAGAAUGUGAUUAUGUACUCCCAAAUUGAUCCUAAGUAGCUAAUGAAGUUAAUAAUGCUUAGUAAUCCCCCCCCCCCCAUUAUUUAAGCAUGUUUUGAUUUUUCUAUGCAGUUGUGGUUUCCUUUGACUACAAAGUAUUGUUGAAAGACUUGGUGGUGGUGGUAAAAAAACUACACAGCGAAAUGGGUUUAGAAACAAAUAUUUAGAUUUUAAGCCAAAUGUACAUAGUUUCCAGCAGUAGUCCACAUAACCAUGCUAUUCUUUGGGGUAAAAGAAUUUUUCAGUCAUAAUCGUUGGGUUUCACAAAAGGAGUGUAAAACUAUGAUGAGAUACUAUUAUACACCUAUUAGAAUGACUAAAAUAAAAGCCACAGACAACACCAAAUUCUUGUGAGGAUGUGGAACAGGAACUGUCAUUAAUUGCCAGUGGGAAUGCAAAAGGUUACAGUCACAUUGAGAGACAGUUUGGCAGUUUCUUACAGAACUAAACAUUCUUAUGAAUGAUCCAACAAUGACUCCUUGAUAUUUACCCAAUGAGUUGAAAAGUUAUGUCCACAUAAAAACCUGCACACAGAUAUUUAUUGCCGUUUUAUUCAUAAUUGUCAAAACUUGGAAGACACCAAGAUGUGCUUCAUUAGGGGAUGGGAUAAAUGGUGGUACAUCCAUACAAUUGAAUAUUAUCUAAUGCUAAAAAGAAAUGAACUAUCAAGCCAUGAAAGGAUAUAAAGGAAGCUUAAAUGCAUAUAACUAAGUAAAAUAAGUCAAUCUGAAAAAGUCACAUACUGUAUGAUUCAAGCUAUAUAACAUUCUGGAAAGGGAAAAACUGGAGAUAGUAAAAAAGAUCAGUAGUGGCCAAGUUUUGUGGCUGGGGAGAGGAAUACAUGGAGCAGAGGAUAUUUAAGGCAGUGAAACGAUUCUCUAUGAUAUUGAAGUGGUAGAUAAAGUGCUUCUACAUUUAUUAAAGCCUACAAAAUGUACACCACCAGUAGUGAACCCUAAUGUGAGUUAUGGUCUUUGGGUGAUAAUGAUGUGUCAUUGUUGGUUCUUCAUUUGUAAUAAAUGUACCAUUCUGGUGGGUGAUAAUAAUGGAGGAGGCUACACAUGUGUAGAGCAGGUGGUAUAUGGGAAGUCUGUACCUUUCUCUCAGUUUUGCUGUGCAUCUUAAACUCCUCUUAAAAAAAAAAGUCUAUUUGAAAAAAGAAGGAAUGAAAGUGUGAAAUAAGCCUUUGGAUUUGGACAACAUGAGCCAGAGUUUUUUGAGUGUUUAUGUGUCAAAGGCUUUACGUGUAUUAAACUCAUUUAAUGUUCACAAGUGUCAGAUGCAUUAGUACAGUUACUACAAAUGAAUCCUGUUUUAGACAACCAGAAAGAAGUGAAAAAAUGUCGGGGGCACACAGCAGAUAAGUGAUAGAGUCAGAAUUAAAUCCUCAGCUCCAGAGCCCCUGCUCUGAACUCUACUACUCUUUUGCAGCUCACAAAGUACACUUUGGCAACAGUCUUUUUUAUUACAAAAACAAGUUAUUUCAACCAGUUUCCAGAGUCUUUACUGAACAGGAAAAUGGACAUGUUCGACCAAUUUUCAAAAAUAAAUGCCAGAAGCAGCAUUUUAUUACAUCUAAAUUUAUUACCAAUAUGUGAUACUCUGUAUCCUAUUUGGUUAUUACAUAUAUCACUCAAUUUUUAAGUGGGUGCAUAAGUAAUAUGUAAGCAAAACCAUGAAGUAGGAUUGUAUUGGGGAAUAGAUGUUGAAGUUACACCUGAGUAUGCAUCUUGGCUUUAUUGCUUUGUAGUGGGUAUGGUAAUUCACUGCUCAGUUUCAUUUGCCUUCAAAACAUGGGAAUAAUAAAAUCUACCUCCCAAAAUAAUGUAGGCAUGCAUUGCACAGAGCCUGACGUGUGUAGUAAGCACUUAGAAAUGAACCAGAAAAGCAAUUACUCUCAGAGCAGUUCUAAUGAAAUAAUAAUUACAUAUGUAAAAUUGUUAACAUUUAUGAGGAAGUGGUUCCUAAUUAGCCACACUUUUCAUAAAGCAUAACCAUAUAGGAUUCUUUUUCACCAAGGCAUGCAGAGUGGUAUCUAAAUUAUAGUCUGUCUAUCCAUUGUCCUCUGCAAAAUUUUGCAGCCUGCACUCUGCUGCACUCUGCUGUUAAUUCUCUGAAAAAGUCAAGCACAUCCUCAUCAUUCUCCCUUUCUGGGUAGGUUUCUUUCAUAAUUACCUUUUCCAAAGUCAGUUAAGAUUGGGGAAAACAAAUGUAUUUUAAUAUUAGUCUAAUAUAUAAUUUUGAAAGCACAUUCAAUAUCCAUUUAUGAUAAAAACAAAGUGGAUAUAGAAGGACUGUACCUCAACAUAGUAAAGGCCAUAUAUGACAAGCCCACAGCUAACCGUAUGCAGUGGUGAAAAGCUGAAAGCUUUUUCUCUGAGAUCAGGAACAGGACCGGAAUACCCACUUUUACCACUUUUAUUCAACCUAGUAUUGGAAAUCUUAGGCACAGCAAUUAGGCAAGAAUAGGAAAUAAAAUGCAUCCAAAUUGGAAAGGAAGAAGUAAAACUCACUAUCUGCAGAUGACAUGAUAUAUAUGUAAAAUCCUAAGGACUGUCAAAAAACUGUUAGAAUUAAUAAAUCAAUAAAAUUGCAGAAUACAAAGUCAAUACACAAAAAUUGGUUGCAUUUCUAUACACUAAUAACAAAUUAUCAGAAAGAGAAACUAAGAAAAAAAUUCCAUUUACAACUGCAUCAAAAAGAAUGAAGUACCUAAAAAUUUACCAAGCAGGUGAAAGACCUGAGUGUUGAUAUCUAUGAAAUAUUAAUGAAGGAACUUAAGACAAAUAAAUGGAAAAAUAUUCCAUGCUCAUUGGUUGGAAGGAUUAAUACUGAUUGUUAAAGUGUCCAUACUACUCAAAAUAAUAUACAGAUUCAGUGAAAUCCCUGAAAAAUUCUGAUGGCAUUUUUCACUGAAAUAGAACAAAGAAUUCUAAAAUUUGUGUGGAACCACAAAAGACCUCAAAUAACCAAAGCACUCUUGAGAAAGAGGAACAAAGCUGGAGGCAUCAUGCUCUCUGAUUCCAAACUGUAUUACAAAGCUAUAUUAAUUAAAACAGUAUGGUAUUGGCAUUAAAAACAGACACAUAGAUCAAUAGAACAAAAUAGCCCAGAAAUAAACCCAUGCAUAUGUGGUUAAUUAAUUUAUGACAAAGGAGUCAAGAAUAUACAGUGUUUAAAGGACAGGCUCAUCAAUAAAUAGUAUUGGGAAAACUGGGCAGCCACAUGCAAAGGAAUGAAACUGGGCCACAUCAUAUAUAAAAAUUAACUCAAAAUGGAUUAAACUGGGCCACAUCAUAUGUAAAAAUUAACUCAAUGGAUUAAAGACUUGAACAUAAGACCUGAAACCAUAAAGAUCCUAGAAGAAAACAUGGGCAAUAGUCUCCCUGACAUAGGUCUUGGCAGUGAUUUUUGAACCUGACACCAAAAGCAAAAACAACGAAAGCAAAAAUAAACAAAUAGGACUACCUCAAACUAAAAAGCUUCUGUACAGCAAAGGAAACCAUCAACAAAAUGAAGAGGCAACAUACUGAAUGGGAGAAAAUAUUUGCAAAUCAUAUAUCCGAUAAGGGGCUAAUAUGCAAAAUAUGUCCUACAAUUCAAUAGCAAAAAAAACCAAUCUGAUUAAAAAAUGGGCAGAAGAUCUAAAUAGACAUUUUUCCAAGGAAGACACACAUGACCAACAAGUACAUGAAAAGAUGCUCAACAUCACUAAUCAGGGAAAUGCAAAUCAAAACCACAAAGAGAUAUCACUCCACAUCGUUAGAAUGGCUAUUACCAAAAAAAUUAAAAAAAAUAAACAUUGAUGAGGAUGUUGAGAAAAGGGAACCCUCAUGCACUAUUGGUGGGAAUGUAAAUUGGUGCAACCACUAUGGAAAACAGAACAGAUGUUCCUCAAAAAAUUAAAAAUAGAAUAGCCAUAUAAUCCACUUCUGGGUGUUUAUUGGAGGAAAACGAAAACACAAACUCAAAAAGAUCCAUGCACCCCAUAUUUAUCGCAGCAUUAUUUAUAAUAGCCGAGCUAUGGAAACAACCUAAGUGUCCAUGACUGAAUGAAUGGAUAAAGAAGAUAUAUAUAUGUGUAUAUAUAUAUAUAAAAAUAUAUAUAUACAUAUAUAUAUAUAAUGGAAUAUUAGCCAUAAAAAAUGAAAUCUUGCCAUUUGUGACAACAUGGAUAGACUUAAAGGGUAUUAUGUUAAGUGAAAUAAGUCAGAGAAAGACAAAUACCAUAUGAUUAUAUGUGGAAACUUAAAAAAACAGCAACCAAAUACCCCCUUCCCCCAAAACAAACUCCAAGCUCAUAGGUAUAGAUAACAAAUUGAUAGCUGCCAGAGGUGAUUGGAGGAGGGUGGGAGAAAUGGGUAUACUUAAAAUUUUUUUUAGUAAUAAAUUAAAAAAUAAUAAAAUUAAAUUUAUUAUAGUAACACCAUAUUAUCUUUAACUUGAAUAAUCAUUGUAAGGACUAUCCAUAAUAUAAUUUGAAGUCUAGGGCAACUGUCUGUAGUUACACAUCUAGGUUAUUUCUACCUUAGUACUUCAUCACUGUAUACCUAGGGAAUGUAAGAGAUUUUUAAUAUUAUCCUAGGAUUUACCUAAUUAGGCAUUAAAUAUUUUGUAGAGAAAUCAUGAGAAAUAGUUCUACCCCAAAUAGAAGUUAUAUUAUAAAAGUAUUUUACAGCACAGUUACGGUAUUUGCUGCAUUUGCUAGUUAUGAUUAACUCUCUUGGACUCUAGAUUUUUUUAACACUUUCUUGAAGCUCAUCAGUGAUAGAAUAUUGAUGAAAUUACCUUUCUUUUAUGAAAGAUGAUAUAUUAAUGCAAAAGUGUUUCAUAUACUGAGAGGCAGGUUCUGUUGUUUGAUGAUCAUCUCGCAAGAUUUUUUUUUUUUUUUUUUUUCUUUCCAGAGUAGUAGCUUCAACAGUAAGAUGGGAAUUCUGUGGUUUGAAUUUGUUAAGUGUUACACUAUGGUAGACCAAUGACAAGCCUCAUCAAUAAGAAAACCAAAGGGAUAUGCUUUGAAAUCCAAAUGUGAAAGGUCUUCUAUCAUUGAAAGACUUGUCAUUGAUUUAUCCCCUUCUUUUUUUUUUCAAUGUACUUCUAAUGUGUCUUGGAUGGUAUGAAAGAGAUGUUUGCAAGGGCUUUUGUUCAAAGUACAUGAAAAAUACAAUUACUGAGUAGUCCAUUUUCUUUCCGCACAGUUUCUGAGUCAUGUUAAUACAGUUCGUGAGUUGUACUGGAUGGCUUUCAAGAAGUUCUGGACAUCCGAUGGGGAUUCCUAUGCUAAUAGGGGAAAGAACAACCUGUCCCUAAUUAGGCCCACACAUCAGGCUCUUCCAGAUCCUCUUUCGUCUCACAUUUCUCCUCUAGGCUUUUUCUCUGGGGCUUAUGGCACUCCAUCUAAACCCGUUUUCAUGUCCCUCAUUUUGUGUCAGUGUCUCAUCUCCACACUUCUUUCAAUCUCUCAAUCUAGUCACCACCUCUUUAUACCCUCCUCACUUUUUCUUUUGCAGUAGGUCUUUACUGAGACUUAUUAAUGGGACAUUAGCAGAGUUUGGUUUCUCUUUCGGUUAGGAAAAUGGAGAACCAAGACUUUGGAUAUUCCCAGCAAAUGAGGAUAAAAGUGUUCAUUCUGUCCUUGAAAUUUUUUUUGUGCAAAAUAAAAGAGUUAAGUUACUUGACUAAAAUUGGGAGAAUGUCUGGACCCAGACUCAAAGACCUGUUCCUUUACAGUCUUUCGUAGGAGAGAGAGGGAUAAUAUACCAAUAAGCCAGUAAGUAAUUGCCAGUUUUUAUAAGUUCUAAGGAGGACACAAAUUGAAUGCUCUGAAAGUGAGCUUUCCAUAGGGUGUUCAGAGUAGGGCAUUCUGAGAAGACAUGUGAACAGAGACUGGAAAGAUGAGAAGAAAUCACCAUAGUAGGGGGUAAAAGAUGGGAAAACAUUUGUCCAGUUAAUAUGGGAAAGAAUGUUUUUGUAGAAAGCAACUGGCCUCUAUGUUUAUAAAAGGGAAAGAGCACAGUUUUAUAAAAGGGGUAGGCUCAGUUUCUCUUACAAAGUUAAUUGAUUUUAAGUCCCCUCCUCUAAGACUGGAGGUCAGCACAUGCCCAGAGGUGGCUGGACAAUCUGCCACCUCUGCCUUAUCUUAUGGCUUCAGUUUGUCAGCAUAUGGCACAAUAUUUUAACUUAAUAGAUUCUUAAAUGUUUGUUGAGUUCACAAAUAGUAUCUUAAGCCAAAAGAUCAGGAAGCUAGCCAUUUCUCUUCUUUGGCAAUAGUUAACUGACUACGGAGAGAGCUCAGUUGUUUUUUCAGAUAGUGUCACUACUUGUUAACUCUGGAAUAAAAUACAUGCUACCUUUUAUUAUUACUGUAGCACAAGGAGGUUAUUUUAACAGAAUGCUCUGAAAGUGAGCACUUGUCUAACAGAAGGUUUGGAGUACUUUAUUGCCCAAAUCUCCUUGUCCGUCUAGAUGCAAUAUUUUAAGGGUAGAAGCACUACAUUUUAACCAGCAGAGGUCCCUGUUGUUUAGCAAGAUUUUUUUUUUUUUCUUUCCAGAGUAGUAGCUUCAACAGUAAGAUGGGAAUUCUGUGGUUUGAAUUUGUUAAGUGUUACACUAUGGUAGACCAAUGACAAGCCUCAUCAAUAAGAAAACCAAAGGGAUAUGCUUUGAAAUCCAAAUGUGAAAGGUCUUCUAUCAUUGAAAGACUUGUCAUUGAUUUAUCCCCUUCUUUUUUUUUUCAAUGUACUUCUAAUUCCCUUGCACAGAAUACACAGUGAAAGAAAUAAGAGAAAGAAAUAAGGAAUGUAUGUAACCUUUAUAGCUUUAGGAGUCUGCACAUCUCUGGUACACUUAUUCAUUGACUUCAUUCUGCAGACCUUCCUGAGAACCUACUUUGUGCUGAGCACUAUUUUAGGGAGAAGGAAUAUGGUAGAGAUCAAGAGAGAUAAUGUCCUUGCCCUCAAAGUACAUAUUUUCUAAUGGAGGAGCCUACAUUGUAGUAGUUUUUUUUCAAUGUGUCUUUGUAAAAAACUCUUGGUUAAAGUACCAAUUUACUGAAUUGUUGCAACUGCCCAUAAAACUUGCUCAUUAUUAACGACUUAAUGAGGGAUUAAGACAAAAUAUGAAUCAAAUCACUUGGUAUCAUCAAAUUAGUCUGAAUUGCAAAUAUUAGGACAGGUGGAUCAAUGCUCAUUGGUCUUGCUUCAUCAAAGCACAGUGUUUUUCUUUUAAAUUACAUUAUAAAUCUGUAUUUAAUAUUGUUAAGUUUUUUAAUUCCAGUAUAGUUAAUACACCGUGUUAUAUUAGUUUCAGGAAUAUAAUAUAGUGAUUCAAUAAUUCUAUACGUUACUCAGUGCUCAUCAUAAGUGUACUCUUAAUCUCCUUCACCUGUUUCACCCAUCCCCCCACUUACCUCCCCUCUGGUCACCAUCUGUUCUCUGUAGUUCAAAGUCUGUUUCUUGGUCUGUUUCUCUUCUUUUUUUUCCUUUGCUCAUUUGUUUCUUAAAUUCCAUAUAUGAAUGAAAUCAUAUGGUAUUUGUCUUUCUCUGACUGACUCAUUUCACUUAGCAUUAUAUUCUCUAGCUCCAUUCAUGUUGUUGCAAAUGGCAAGAGUUCAUUCUUUCUUACGGCUGAAUUAUAUAUCUACAGUGGGAUAUAUAUCACAUCUUCUUUAUCCAUUCAUCUAUCGACGGACACUUAGGCUGCUUCCGUAGUUUGGCUGUUAUAAAUAAUGCUGCAAUAAACAGAGGGAUGCAUGUAUCCCUUUGAAUUAGUGUCUUUGUAUUUGUUGGGUAAAUACCCAACAGUAUGAUUAUUAGAUGAUAGGGUAGUUCUAUUUUUAAUUUUCUGAAGAAACUCCCAUCGUUUUUUCCAGAGUGGCUGCACCAGUUUGCUUUCCCAUUAAGAGUGCAUCAGGGUUCCUUUUCGUCCACAUCUAACACCAACACCUUUUUCCUCACCAACACUGUUGUCUCUUGUGUUGAUGAUUUUAGCCAUUCUGACGGCUGUGAGGUGAUAUAUCUCCUUGGCGUUUUGAUUUGCAUUUCCCUGAUGGUAAGUGAUGAUGAACAUCUUUUCAUGUAUGUUGACCAUCUGUGUGUCUUCUUUGGAGAAAUAUCUGUUCAUGUCUUCUGCCCAUUUUUUAAUUGGAUUGUUGGUUUUUUGGGUGUUGAGUUGUACCAGUUCUUUUUUUUUUUUUUUUUUUUAAGAUUUUAUUUAUUUAUUCAUGAGAGACAGAGAGACAGAGGCAGAGGGAGAAGCAGGCUCCCCGCGGAGCAGGGAGCCCGAUGCGGGGCUCGAUCCCAGGACCCUGGGAUCAUGACCUGAGCCGAAGGCAGGCGCUUAACGACUGAGCCACCCAGGUGCCCCGAGUUGUAUCAGUUCUUUAUAUAUUUUGGAUACUAACCCUUUAUUGGAUAUAUCAUUUGCAAAUAUCUUCUCCCAUUCAGUAGGUUCCCUUUUAGUUGUGUUGAUUGUUUCCUUCACUGUGCAGAAAUUUGUGUUUUGAUGUAGUCCCAAUAGUUUAUUUUUGCUUUUAUUCCCUUGCCUGAGGAGACAUAUCUAGAAAAAUGUUGCUUUGGCUGAUGUCUCAGACAUUACUGCCCAUGCUCUCUUCUAGGAUUUUUAUGGUUUCAGGUCUCACAGUUAGGUCUUUCAUCCCCUUUGAGUUUAUUUUUGUGUAUGGUGAAAGAAAGUGGUCCAGUUUCAUUCUUUUGCAUGUGGCUGUCCAGUGUUCCCAAUACUGUUUGUUAAAGACACUGUCUUUUUCCCACUGGAUAUUCAUUCCUCCUUUGUCAAAGAUUAAUUGACCAUAUAAUUGUGGGCUUAUUUCUGGGUUUUCUAUUCUGUUCUAUUGAUCCAUGUGUCUAUUUUUAUGCCCAUACCAGGCUGUUUUGAUUGCUAUAGCUUUGUAAUAGAACUUGAAGACUGGAAUUGUGAUACCUCCCGUUUUGUUUUUCUUUUUCAAGAUUGUUCUGGCUAUUUGGGGUCUUUUGUGUUUCCAUACAAAUUUUAGGAUUGUUUGUU